rnacentral:rRNA from 1 species
CUACGGGCGGCUGCACUGAGGAAUUUUGCGCAAUGGGGGCAACCCUGACGCAGCAACGCCGCGUGAGUGAAGAAGGCCCUUGGGUCGUAAAGCUCUGUCAAUGGGGAAGAAGUUAUUAUGUGUUAAUAGCACAUUUUAUUGACGGUACCCAUGAAGGAAGCACCGGCUAACUCCGUGCCAGCAGCCGCGGUAAUACGGGGGGUGCAAGCGUUAUUCGGAAUUAUUGGGCGUAAAGGGCACGCAGGCGGUCCUGUCAGUCAGAUGUGAAAGCCCAGGGCUCAACCCUGGACGUGCAUUUGAAACAGCAGGACUUGAGUACGGGAGAGGAAAGGGGAAUUCCUGGUGUAGAGGUGAAAUUCGUAGAUAUCAGGAGGAACACCGGUGGCGAAGGCGCCUUUCUGGACCGAUACUGACGCUGAGGUGCGAAGGCGUGGGUAGCGAACGGGAUUAGAUACCCCUGUAGUC